rnacentral:ncRNA from 1 species
GAACUGAAGAGUUUGAUCAUGGCUCAGAUUGAACGCUGGCGGCAGGCCUAACACAUGCAAGUCGAGCGGAUGACGGGAGCUUGCUCCUUGAUUCAGCGGCGGACGGGUGAGUAAUGCCUAGGAAUCUGCCUGGUAGUGGGGGACAACGUUUCGAAAGGAACGCUAAUACCGCAUACGUCCUACGGGAGAAAGCAGGGGACCUUCGGGCCUUGCGCUAUCAGAUGAGCCUAGGUCGGAUUAGCUAGUUGGUGAGGUAAUGGCUCACCAAGGCGACGAUCCGUAACUGGUCUGAGAGGAUGAUCAGUCACACUGGAACUGAGACACGGUCCAGACUCCUACGGGAGGCAGCAGUGGGGAAUAUUGGACAAUGGGCGAAAGCCUGAUCCAGCCAUGCCGCGUGUGUGAAGAAGGUCUUCGG